CGGUUAUCAGACACAUUCAGACGACGAUCGUCACGUAGAAGUUACUUGGAUCUCAUCCAUCACACCAUCACCGACGAUGGCCAAGUACAUGAAGCACACCAUGAUCCAAGGACUCUGGCUGCUUUCCUUGGUUAUUUUGGCAUCAUCAUGGACUGUCAUGCAUGCACGCGUAAUCGGUAAUCAAUCCAUCAAAUCCAUUUUCUUUUCAUGUACAUAUACACAAAUAUAGCGUCCAUUCUGAUGAAGUUGCAUGUCAUUCGAUUGAUCUUUGUUAGCGAAAACCGAAGCCGACAGCAACACUAGCGAUGGAGAAAACCCUGAUUGCCAUUGUUACACAAUGCCACUUGCUUUUUACUGCUGCAACUGCGGGCUUAAGUGCUAUGGCAGCAUGGACGAGUGCCAAAUUCAGUGCCACAGACGAACAAGAUGAUGGAACUGCGGGAAAAGAUUAAUAAGAGGCUACGUGCUUUCUCCAGUUCUCGUAGAUGCAGAUAAUGAAGGUGUUCUUCUACCUAACCAUAGCAUGUAUACCAAGGAUCAACGACAAUUUAAUUAGAAUUUCCUUACAGGCUACCGAGAUGUAAUCCCUCAUAUGCCAUCAUUGUA
rnacentral:lncRNA from 1 species